GACGAACGCUGGCGGCGUGCUUAACACAUGCAAGUCGAACGGGGAACCCCUUCGUAGGGGAUCAGUGGCGAACGGGUGAUUAACACGUGGGCAACCGUCCCCCGUCUCUGGGAUAACUCCAAGCAAUUGGGGCUAAUACCGGAUGGUCACCGCUUCCCUCAUGGUUGGUUGUGGAAAGGUUUGCCGGCUGGGUAUGGGCGCGCGGCGCAUCAGCUUGUGGGGUGGGUAGGGGGAUACCAAGGCGAGGACGGGUAGCCUGCCUGCGAGGGGGACCGGCCACACUGCGCCUGGGCUGCGACACGGCCUCCUCCGCGACGCAGCACUGCGGUAUAUUACGCUAUGCGCGGAAGCAUGGCCCGGCCCCGCCGCGUGGGGGAUGACGGCAUUCGGGUUGUAAACCUCUUUCAGCAGGGACGAAGCGAAAGUGACGGUACCUGCAGAAGAAGCACCGGCCAACUACGUG
rnacentral:rRNA from 1 species